AUUAUUACAGUUUUCAUAGUACAACCCGGAAGAUUUUUUUUAUUUUAUUUUACUCCUACUCCCACCACCAACGUCAACAUCACCACCCACUUCCACCACCAAUAUCACCAUCAAUCCCCUGCACUAUACCUAUUACAGCACACUCCAUGCUUCUACAAAUUCAUUGACAUACUUUAGUCAUUCUCAUCCAUUUCAUCACAAACCCUCACGCAAUUCAUCAUCUUUCACUCUUACAAGAAACACCAAGACAAAGGUAAGAAUUUCAAUCAAAAUUCAUUACCUUCUUACAAAGCAAGCUCUCCACUUCAAUGACUAAGCUAUUUGUGAAUCAAUUUCAGCGGCCAAACAAAUUCAAGCAAACCGACCCAACCGAAACCUUUCUAAAAGGUUUUACUUCUAAAUCCUCAUGCCAAUUCCUUGAGUUUUAAUUGAGUCAAAAGCGAAGAAAAAAAAAAGAAAGACACGCAUACAUUCAUAGCACCAUUUCAACACAUAUAAUUGUAUAUGCAAAUGAAUAGAGUUUAUAUAUUUUACAUAAACAGAGUAUGAAAUAUUUGAAGAAAGAAAUUUUGCUUGAGCUUUGAUCUUUCCUUGUUUCCAAUUCUGCUGUGUCGAGUCUGUGGGUAUCGAGUUGGGUUAGAGGUUGUUGGCAGAGAGAGUCGAGAGAUGGAGGGAGGCAGGGCACGGCGGCGACCUGCCGCUGCUGUCCGGCCAAGGACGGAAGAUGGGGAGGGAGUCAUGGUCUGUGUGGGUGAGCGUCGAACUUGUGAAUGAGUUGAGGGAAGACUGAGAUGAUGGCGGUGGCAGAUGCGGUCGGCGGCGGUGGUUCUCCUGCUGCUGUCGGCCGGAGUUUUGAGGAAGAGGCGGCCAUGGCAGCCGCUGUGGUUGCCGGAUAUUGAAGAGAGCAGGGUGCCGGUGAUGGUGGCUUAGCUGCUGUCGCCGGGGCUGUGAGCGGCGCAAGGUGCGUCUGCUUGUGUGGGUUCUGUUUGAGUGAAAAGAGUGGUGAUAGCCGGCGGCCUUGGUGCCGUCGACCUGAGGAGGAAGAUCCGAGCAUCGUCAGCGGCCGUCGCUGUUGCUCCGGCAAGUUUUGGCGGUGGCAGAAUUCUGAGAGAGGGGUCGAGAGAGAGAUGAAAGACUGCGUGUGUUUUGUGAUUUUGACCGAGAGAGAGAGUAGGGAAGAAAGGGGGUGGGAUGUUGGGCUUUAGGUUUGGGCUUGAGGGUGGGUUUGACUUGGGCCGAUUUUAAUUGAGUAUUUGGGCCGAGAUUGUUAUUUAUUUUUGUUUCAGUUGGGCCUUUACUUAUUAAAUCAGCUGGGCCUUUAUUAAUUUAUUCUAAUUGGGCUGUGCAGUUUCUUUAUUUAAAAUGGAUUACACUAUUUUAAUUAAUUAGACUUAUUAAGUUUGAUUAAUUAUUUUAAUUUGCAUAAUAAUAUUAUAUUAUUAUUAUGUGCAUAUUUUAAGUAAAUUACUUAUUAUAUGCUAAGCAUGACAUGAAAUUGCAUUUAUUUUGCAAUAAGAAUAUUCAUGAUUUAAUUGGUUUUAAUUAUAACUCCAAUUAUUAAAGAAAGAUGAGUAAGAAUAUUGUUGGUGUUCUUAACUCAAGAGAAAUGUUUUCAAUUAUUUAUUCAUUAAAUUUUGAAAACCCGGCUAAGUGAAUCAUAGAAUAUUGUUAAGCACUUCACCACGACUUAAGAUUAGAUUCAAGGAGACCUAUUGAGAAUAGAUUUCUUGUAGGCUCUGAGCAUCAGGAGGAUUAGCACUGCUAUUCCGAUUCAAAGAUAAGAUUAAACGGCAGGCAUUGCCUAUACAGGUGGGCUUAUUUUCCAAAUGUAUGAUUGAGCUAAUGAGCUUAAAUGUUUCAUGAAAUACAAACUGUUUAUCCAAUAAAUAUUUUUGUGCACUCUACCAUGUUUAAGGCUCGCGCAGUUUAUCAAUUGAGGUUCUCUUAUGACCUAAUACGUUGUUUGAGAAUUGUGUACACUUGUUAGUGACUCGGUGGGUUGAUCUCCAUCGGGCUCUAACCAGAGGCGUUAUAAGGGUGCUCUGCUGGAUGUGUUCCGGAGCAUGAGAAAUAAGAGGCCUGCCUGGGUAGCAUCCCGAGGUCAAAGUAUACUUGGCUGGGUUACGUCCUCAGUCCAAGCCAGCGGGAGACAGAGAUCCGUCGGUGGCUAAAAGGUCCGGGAUCACAGCGAGUAACAGAAUAGAGUGUGACAACUGCGCGCAAUCAAAGAUAUAAUAUAUAUAUUUAUGAAAUGUUUUAACAUGCAUAGAAGUUAUUUCUACUUUAAACCUUCUAUGUCAUGUCAGUAAGAUUGGAUAAAACUGCUCUUAUAGAUUGUGAAAUGUUUUAAAAGGUUGCAGCCCACUAAGUACAUUAGUACUUAGCCCAAAAAUACUUUCAAAUGUUUUCAGGUUAAUGGCUGGUGAUGACGGGGCAGAGCUGAGGCUAGAGUUCAACUCCUUAUUUGAUUUCCGCUGCAGAACUAGCCAGUAUCUGUCUUUUGUUUCUUAACUUNCCCAGUAUUGGAGACAUAUACAAUGUGUUUCAUGUCUCUCAGUUAAGAAAGUAUGUGUUUAAUCCUAAGCAUUUGAUUAAGCAAGAUAAAGGAAUCCUAGCCAGGACCUAAGUUAUGAAGAGAAAUCAGUCCAGAUACUUGAUCGCAAAGUUCAAGUUUUACGAGGCAAUAAUAUUGUUCUCGUCAUGUAGUGGAACCAUCACAGGAUGGAAAAGGCCACGAAAGAGAUGAAUGAAAUGAAAGACUAGUAUCCCCAGCUAGAUUAUCAGAUAUGCAAUUCCGAGGACGGAAUUUUUUUUAAGGAGGGAGGGAUGUAAUACCCCGUUUCCCGAGCUAAGUUUAGAAUUUAUUUUAAACUUAGAUUUAAGAUGAUUCACGCCGGAUUGAGAAAAAGAAUUUAUUUUUUUUAAUUCCAACAAAAAUGAUUUACAAAAAUAUUUGUAAAUUUAGUUAUUGAAUUUAUAUGCAUUGCAUAUUUAUUUAAUUUAGCAUUCAAGCAUUUUCACGAGCUUUUAGUCAGUAAACCCUGAAGAAUUAUUACAGUUUUCAUAGUACAACCCGGAAGAUUUUUUUUAUUUUAUUUUACUCCUACUCCCACCACCAACGUCAACAUCACCACCCACUUCCACCACCAAUAUCACCAUCAAUCCCCUGCACUAUACCUAUUACAGCACACUCCAUGCUUCUACAAAUUCAUUGACAUACUUUAGUCAUUCUCAUCCAUUUCAUCACAAACCCUCACGCAAUUCAUCAUCUUUCACUCUUACAAGAAACACCAAGACAAAGGUAAGAAUUUCAAUCAAAAUUCAUUACCUUCUUACAAAGCAAGCUCUCCACUUCAAUAGACUAAGCAUUUGUGAAUCAAUUCAGCGGCCAACAAAUUCAAGCAAACCGACCAACCGAAACCUUCUAAAAGGUUUUACUUCUAAAUCCUCAUGCCAAUUCCUUUGAGUUUUAAUUGAGUCAAAAGACGAAGAAAAAAAAAGAAAGACACGCAUACAUUCAUAGCACCAUUUCAACACAUAUAAUUGUAUAUGCAAAUGAAUAGAGUUUAUAUAUUUUACAUAAACAGAGUAUGAAAUAUUUGAAGAAAGAAUUUUGCUUGAGCUUUGAUCUUUCCUUGUUUCCAAUUCUGCUGUGUCGAGUCUGUGGGUAUCGAGUUGGGUUAGAGGUUGUUGGCAGAGAGAGUCGAGAGAUGGAGGGAGGCAGGGCACGGCGGCGACCUGCCGCUGCUGUCCGGCCAAGGACGGAAGAUGGGGAGGGAGUCAUGGUCUGUGUGGGUGAGCGUCGAACUUGUGAAUGAGUUGAGGGAAGACUGAGAUGAUGGCGGUGGCAGAUGCGGUCGGCGGCGGUGGUUCUCCUGCUGCUGUCGGCCGGAGUUUUGAGGAAGAGGCGGCCAUGGCAGCCGCUGUGGUUGCCGGAUAUUGAAGAGAGCAGGGUGCCGGUGAUGGUGGCUUAGCUGCUGUCGCCGGGGCUGUGAGCGGCGCAAGGUGCGUCUGCUUGUGUGGGUUCUGUUUGAGUGAAAAGAGUGGUGAUAGCCGGCGGCCUUGGUGCCGUCGACCUGAGGAGGAAGAUCCGAGCAUCGUCAGCGGCCGUCGCUGUUGCUCCGGCAAGUUUUGGCGGUGGCAGAAUUCUGAGAGAGGGGUCGAGAGAGAGAUGAAAGACUGCGUGUGUUUUGUGAUUUUGACCGAGAGAGAGAGUAGGGAAGAAAGGGGGUGGGAUGUUGGGCUUUAGGUUUGGGCUUGAGGGUGGGUUUGACUUGGGCCGAUUUUAAUUGAGUAUUUGGGCC
rnacentral:lncRNA from 1 species